UUACGGAAGGCAGCAGUGGGGAAUUUUGCGCAAUGGGCGAAAGCCUGACGCAGCAACGCCGCGUGGAGGAUGAAGGUUUUCGGAUCGUAAACUCCUGUCAGGGGGGACGAAGGCGGGGCAACCCGUUUGACUGUACCCUCUGAGGAAGCCACGGCUAACUCCGUGCCAGCAGCCGCGGUAAUACGGAGGUGGCAAGCGUUGUUCGGAAUUACUGGGCGUAAAGGGCGCGUAGGCGGCUUGGCAAGUCAGAUGUGAAAGCCCCGGGCUUAACCUGGGAAUUGCAUCUGAAACUGCUUUGCUUGAGUCCUGGAGGGGGUAGUGGAAUUCCCAGUGUAGCGGUGAAAUGCGUAGAUAUUGGGAGGAACACCGGCGGCGAAGGCGGCUACCUGGACAGUGACUGACGCUGAGGCGCGAAAGCUAGGGGAGCGAACGGGAUUAGAUACCCCGGUAGG
rnacentral:rRNA from 1 species